rnacentral:rRNA from 1 species
GUGAAAGGUUAACUGCCUGGAGAUGAGCUCGCGUCUGAUUAGCUAGUUGGUGGUGUAAGAGACUACCAAGGCGACGAUCAGUAGCUGGUCUGAGAGGAUGAUCAGCCACACUGGAACUGAGACACGGUCCAGACUCCUACGGGAGGCAGCAGUGGGGAAUUUUCCGCAAUGGGCGAAAGCCUGACGGAGCAAUACCGCGUGAGGGAGGAAGGCUCUUGGGUUGUAAACCUCUUUUCUCAAGGAAGAAUGAUGACGGUACUUGAGGAAUCAGCAUCGGCUAACUCCGUGCCAGCAGCCGCGGUAAUACGGAGGAUGCAAGCGUUAUCCGGAAUGAUUGGGCGUAAAGCGUCCGUAGGUGGCUGUGUGUGUCUAUUGUUAAAGAGUUUGGCUCAACCAAAUAAGGGCGGUAGAAACUACACAGCUAGAGUGCGUUCGGGGCAGAGGGAAUUCCUGGUGUAGCGGUGAAAUGCGUAGAGAUCAGGAAGAACACCGGUGGCGAAAGCGCUCUGCUAGGCCGCAACUGACACUGAGGGACGAAAGCUAGGGGAGCGAAUGGGAUAGAUACCCCC